rnacentral:rRNA from 1 species
AGUAACGCGUAGGAACCUGUCGCGGAGUGGGGGACAACGCCGGGAAACUGGUGCUAAUACCGCAUGAUGUUCAUGAGGGAGACCUUGUGAAAGAAAGCAGCAAUGCGCUCUGUGAGGGGCCUGUGUCCGAUUAGCUUGUUGGUGGGGUAAAGGCCUACCAAGGCGACGAUCGGUAGCUGGUCUGAGAGGACGGUCAGCCACACUGGGACUGAGACACGGCCCAG